rnacentral:sRNA from 1 species
GCCUCAGCUGCAGCAGCCACAGCUGAGCUGCUGAAGAAACAGGAGGAGCUCAACCGGAAGGCAGAGGAGUUGGACCGAAGGGAGCGAGAGCUGCAGCAUGCUGCCCUGGGGGGCACAGCUACUCGACAGAACAAUUGGCCCCCUCUACCUUCUUUUUGUCCAGUUCAGCCCUGCUUUUUCCAGGACAUCUCCAUGGAGAUCCCCCAAGAAUUUCAGAAGACUGUAUCCACCAUGUACUACCUCUGGAUGUGCAGCACGCUGGCUCUUCUCCUGAACUUCCUCGCCUGCCUGGCCAGCUUCUGUGUGGAAACCAACAAUGGCGCAGGCUUUGGGCUUUCUAUCCUCUGGGUCCUCCUUUUCACUCCCUGCUCCUUUGUCUGCUGGUACCGCCCCAUGUAUAAGGCUUUCCGGAGUGACAGUUCAUUCAAUUUCUUCGUUUUCUUCUUCAUUUUCUUCGUCCAGGAUGUGCUCUUUGUCCUCCAGGCCAUUGGUAUCCCAGUGGCUGGAUCUCCGCUCUGGUGGUGCCGAAGGGCAACACAGCAGUAUCCGUGCUCAUGCUGCUGGUCGCCCUGCUCUUCACUGGCAUUGCUGUGCUAGGAAUUGUCAUGCUGAAACGGAUCCACUCCUUAUACCGCCGCACAGGUGCCAGCUUUCAGAAGGCCCAGCAAGAAUUUGCUGCUGGUGUCUUCUCCAACCCUGCGGUGCGAACCGCAGCUGCCAAUGCAGCCGCUGGGGCUGCUGAAAAUGCCUUCCGGGCCCCGUGACCCCUGACUGGGAUGCCCUGGCCCUGCUACUUGAGGGAGCUGACUUAGCUCCCGUCCCUAAGGUCUCUGGGACUUGGAGAGACAUCACUAACUGAUGGCUCCUCCGUAGUGCUCCCAAUCCUAUGGCCAUGACUGCUGAACCUGACAGGCGUGUGGGGAGUUCACUGUGACCUAGUCCCCCCAUCAGGCCACACUGCUGCCACCUCUCACACGCCCCAACCCAGCUUCCCUCUGCUGUGCCACGGCUGUUGCUUCGGUUAUUUAAA